GGAUUUGGUAAAAGUAGGAAGAAAUUGAAAUCUAUGACUGGCAGUCAUGGGGUCAGGGGUUCAAGUCCCCUCAGCUCCACCA
rnacentral:tRNA from 1 species